rnacentral:rRNA from 1 species
UGAGGAAUAUUGGUCAAUGGGCGUAAGCCUGAACCAGCCAAGUCGCGUGAGGGAUGAAGGUUCUAUGGAUCGUAAACCUCUUUUAUAAAGGAAUAAAGUGCGGGACGUGUCCUGUUUUGUAUGUACCUUAUGAAUAAGGAUCGGCUAACUCCGUGCCAGCAGCCGCGGUAAUACGGAGGAUCCGAGCGUUAUCCGGAUUUAUUGGGUUUAAAGGGAGCGUAGGCGGGUCGGUAAGUCAGUUGUGAAAGUUCGGGGCUCAACCCCGGAAUUGCAGUUGAAACUGGGAGGCUUGAGUAUGUUUGAGGCAGGCGGAAUGCGUGGCGUAGCGGUGAAAUGCUUAGAUAUCACGCAGAACCCCGAUUGCGAAGGCAGCCUGCCAAGCCAUGACUGACGCUGAUGCACGAAAGCGUGGGGAUCAAACAGGAUUAGAUACC